CGUACACUCCUACAGGAGGCAGCAGUGGGGAAUAUUGGACAAUGGGCGCAAGCCUGAUCCAGCCAUGCCGCGUGAGUGAUGAAGGCCCUAGGGUUGUAAAGCUCUUUCACCGGUGAAGAUAAUGACGGUAACCGGAGAAGAAGCCCCGGCUAACUUCGUGCCAGCAGCCGCGGUAAUACGAAGGGGGCUAGCGUUGUUCGGAUUUACUGGGCGUAAAGCGCACGUAGGCGGACUAUUAAGUCAGGGGUGAAAUCCCGGGGCUCAACCCCGGAACUGCCUUUGAUACUGGUAGUCUUGAGUUCGAGAGAGGUGAGUGGAAUUCCGAGUGGAGAGGUGAAAUUCGUAGAUAUUCGGAGGAACACCAGUGGCGAAGGCGGCUCACUGGCUCGAUACUGACGCUGAGGUGCGAAAGCGUGGGGAGCAAACAGGAUUAGAUACCCUUGUAGUCCC
rnacentral:rRNA from 1 species